rnacentral:tRNA from 10 species
GCCGUCUUAGCUCAGCAGGUAGAGCGCAUCCAUGGUAAGGAUGAGGUCGUCGGUUCGAAUCCGAUAGACGGCU